UACGGGGGGAGCAAGCGUUGUUCGGAUUUACUGGGCGUAAAGGGCGCGUAGGCGGCCACCGCAAGUCGGUUGUGAAAUCUCUGGGCUUAACCCAGAAAGGUCAACCGAUACUGCGGGGCUAGAGUGCAGAAGGGGCAACUGGAAUUCCCGGUGUAGCGGUGAAAUGCGCAGAUAUCGGGAAGAACACCCGUGGCGAAGGCGGUUCUCUGGGACCGGU
rnacentral:rRNA from 1 species